GACAGAGGGUGCAAACGUUGUUCGGAAUUACUGGGCGUAAAGCGCGUGUAGGCGGCUGGGCAAGUCGGAUGUGAAAGCCCUGGGCUCAACCCAGGAAGUGCACUCGAAACUGCCGAGCUGGAGUCCCGGAGAGGAAGGCGGAAUUCUCGGUGUAGAGGUGAAAUUCGUAGAUAUCGAGAGGAACACCUGUGGCGAAGGCGGCCUUCUGGACGGCGACUGACGCUGAGGCGCGAAAGCGUGGGGAGCAAACAGG
rnacentral:rRNA from 1 species